rnacentral:lncRNA from 1 species
UAUGUGUUCUAUGUUAUGUGUGCACACUUGUGUUUUGUGUUGUAUGUCUGCAUGUGCAUAUGUCCAUAUAUCAUAUAUGAGGAACACUCAUAAAAUAAUGGAUCCAAAUAUUUUUAUUAUUCACGUGAUUUAAAUGGUUUAAUUUAAAUUGGGUAAACAGCUGUUGAGGAUUGUUUUAAUAUGUGAACAAAUAAGGAGGUCAACAGACCUGUUUGUUUACUUUCACCUUUCCUUUACAUUAUAUUUAAUAAUUCUGUUCAUGAUAAUGUAAAUUGUUCAGAAAAGUAUUUUCUUAAUACCUGUAGGAAUGGUACAUAAUUUUCUUUUUUACCCAUCAUUACCAGAAUUUUUAUGUUCAUCCCAGUUCCGGUGAAGACAAGGUGAAGACAAAGAUAAAACCAAACUACAGCUUCUUCAAUAGCUAUCACAGUAAACUGUAUAAACUGAUGCAUCAAUGAAUAAUAACUCAACAUGUAAUGCUCAAUCAAGGAGUCAAUUUACUUUGGGAGGAAAUGGAAAUAUUGGUAGAUUCCUCUGCUUUGAACUGCUUGCAGAACUUGCCUGGACUGUGUAUCACUUGUAUACAUUGUGAACUAUCUGUUGAUACAGUGAAUUGUGGUAGUGCCUGAGUAUCUUUGCUGAUGGUGUCACCGGUGGUACAAUUUUUCCAAAAAGAGCCGCCAAUUGAUUUAGUUUCAUGGCAUUUCUGUAUCCUCCCUUCUGCUAGUGAUGGUCUAAAAUUUGGGGGCCAACAGAGGUGAGGCAAAGAACCUCACACCCCACUGGUGCAUAGGCCUAUCCACAAGUAUGGCUGUAUGCUGGACUGGUAGUCAGUGAUGGGUAAGAUCCAAUUGCAGUGGUACCAACCUAAGACAGAAGGCUGAUGCCUUGAGGUCAGCUCAUCUGAUGAUGGGUAAGGACCAUAUGUAGUACUGGACAGCCUAACAGACAAGUCCCUAAGCCACAUGCUUGGUGUUUAAUUAAACAGAAGGGGUGAGAUGCUGAGAGCCAUAGCUGAGUUGGAAUGAUGCAUGGCAUUUUUGCCAGAACAGAGUGGUUGAGAGGUGAUGUCAGCAAGCCAUUGAGAUGAUAAUGGUUAUGUUAAGCUGUGUAUUCAAUUGUAUAUUAGACCCCUGCUGUCCACCUCUGCCUGGUACUUUGGAGUUCUCAUGCUACUUUGGCAUUUUCACAGGGAUUCCCAGAGGGUUCCCAUUGGUUGGGGAAGUGCAGGAGGAGGGAUUUCUGGAGGAGGGAUUUCUGGUUGGUAUGUGAUGUGUCCCGGAGAAGGCGGAGUGCGGAGAAUAAAGGACUUCCUGUUUUGAACCUACAAGGCUAUGUGGUGGCUCGGUUAUUUUGUGCCCAGCCAGACUGUGCAGUAAAUAAAAAAAAUAAAAAGAUCUGGGGAUGUGGCUCAGUGGCUAAAUACCCCUAGGUUCAAUAUAUAGUGCAACACCCUCACCCCAAAAAAGAAAUAAUAGAAUUUACUAUAGCUUCACCAGAAAUAAAAUACUUCUGUUUAAAUCUAAUGACAUGUGGUCGAGAUCACUGUGAGUAAAAUUACAACUUUAUUUAGAAAUUUUUGAAAAAUAAAAAAAAAGAUAUUUCACACUUCAGAAAAGAAAAACUCAGAACUGUUAAGAUGCCAGUUUUUCCCAGUUGUAUCUACAGAUUCAGUGCAAUCCCAAACAAAAUUUCAAAAAGUUUUAUCCAUCAAUAUGAACAAUUAUAGGGGCUGGGGAUAUAGCUUAGUUAGUACAAUGCUUUACUUGCAUGCACAAAACCCUAGGUUCAGCCCCCAGCACCAUCAAAAAAGAAAUUAUAUAUAUAUAAACAAUUACUAUUUGUCAAGUAAUUCUUACUUAAAAUAUUAUUAUUAUAUUUUUAAAUUCUCAGAAAAUUAAACUGUGUUACUGACAUGCUGGUUCUAAACCUUAUACAGAAAAGCAAAGACACUGAAUUGCACACUUAAUAUUUGAAAACAAUAACACAUACAGGAAAGGAACCCCAUCAAUUGAGGACUCAUAAAGAUUCAAGCAUCAAGAUAGUAUGGCAUUUACUAAAGAAAAGACAAUCCAAACAAAGGAUCACCCAGAAGUAGAUUCACAGCAAGAUAGCUAAUCUUAACUAAGGAGAGAGAAUCUUCAUUGGAGAAAGGAUGGCCUCUUCAACAAAUGGUGCUGGGGAAACAGAAAAUAAAC